CCCGCACAAGCGGUGGAGCAUGUGGGUUUAAUUCGAUGCAACGCGAAGAACCUUACCUACUCUUGACAUCCAGAGAACUUAGCAGAGAUGCUUUGGUGCCUUCGGGAACUCUGAGACAGGUGCUGCAUGGCUGUCGUCAGCUCGUGUUGUGAAAUGUUGGGUUAAGUCCCGCAACGAGCGCAACCCUUAUCCUUUGUUGCCAGCGGUUAGGCCGGGAACUCAAAGGAGACUGCCAGUGAUAAACUGGAGGAAGGUGGGGAUGACGUCAAGUCAUCAUGGCCCUUACGAGUAGGGCUACACACGUGCUACAAUGGCGCAUACAAAGAGAAGCGACCUCGCGAGAGCAAGCGGACCUCAUAAAGUGCGUCGUAGUCCGGAUUGGAGUCUGCAACUCGACUCCAUGAAGUCGGAAUCGCUAGUAAUCGUGGAUCAGAAUGCCACGGUGAAUACGUUCCCGGGCCUUGUACACACCGCCCGUCACACCAUGGGAGUGGGUUGCAAAAGAAGUAGGUAGCUUAACCUUCGGGAGGGCGCUU
rnacentral:rRNA from 1 species